GAGGAAGUUUUGAAGCUGUAAGCUGCACAGGACAGAUAGCUUCCUCAGCCUUAUCCAAUCAAGAGGGUCAUUUCUGUCAGGGGCCAGUAGGUUUACCAGGACACUCCCCUGCAAUGCAGAGGCUCCCGUGCCCACUGGCCUUCUCAGAGGGGUGACUGCUGUGAGGUGACAGAGUUCUGUUGGCGCAUGUCCAUUACUCUGCACGAGGAAAAGGCCAGGGUAGCAGCCUUGGGGCCCUCAACUUUCCAAGUCACUUGCUGUAACUGAGGGAAAUGGGAUAACAUUUGAAAUGUAAAUACAGAAAAUAUCCAAUUUAAAAAAGAAAGAAAGAAAGAAAAGAAAAGAAAAGAAAAGAAAAGAAAAGAAAAGAAAAGAGAAGAAAAGAGAAGAAAAGAAAGAAAAGCCACUUCCGGGGUAAGGGGCUGCAUUUCCGGAACCGUGCUUGUGUUUACCACUGCUUUCGGCUCCAGCCGUCCAGAACUGGUUAGCAGGUACAAGAUUCUCUGGUGAAGGUCAGGAAAGCUGGUUGCAGUCUCAGUGUUCUGGAGGAAGAGACAAGCAAUUUACUGAGGUCUACACAGUAAGUUCCUGGUCAGUCAGAGGCCACAAGGUGAGACCCAACCAAACUAAAACAAAUGAAAGAGUGAACUGCGGAAUCCCGAGCCUCGGUUAUAUUUGGUGUAAGGUCAUACGUGGCAGGUCAGGACUAGGGUCCCAUAGUACGGACCAGCACAUGUGCUUCAGCACCUCCCAAACAAUCCGUGCACACUUGGUCUUUAAUUUUCUUAUUUAUUAGUCUAAGUUGUAGGUUUUCAAAGAAAUGCUCACCUAUUAACUGGUGACAAUACAUCAAUGGGCUGGAUGUGAGAAUUGAAGGAAGGAAUAUAUAAAAGUGCUUAAGUUAAUAUCUGCUACAUAAGACCUCAGUGCAAGGCACUUAACUGUCAUUAUUGUCCUUCACAGGAGAUUUAAUCCCAGGACCUUUGGAGAUACCUAAUUUCCAGCAUUAGGGUACUUCUUCUUUUACUGGAAAACCUGGUUGUUGGGAAAGAGCUGGAAGCUAACAAGUCCAAAUGAUCCCAUCUUCCUACCCUGCUUGGACCUGGGCUUGGUACAUGGUUGACGGAGUGCUGAGGAAGCAGAGCCAACCAAGGUGGUGCCGGUAAAAUAAGAGGAUCCAGAAGAAAAUGGUAUCAUGAAAGCAAAAAGAAAGUUAAUUAUAUUAAAUGCUGCUAUAAUAUCAAGAAAUUGAAAUGACUAUUGAAUGUGGUAGCAUGGACAUUAUCCAUCUACAUGCCUGACAUUUUUGACAUGCUUGUAGGUAGGAAAUGUAACAUAACCAAAAAUGUACUUCUGAUUUCUCUUUCAUCAAAUUAUACUGCACUCAUAACUAAAAAAAAUAAGUAGACAUAUAAAAGUUCAUCAUCUUUGAUAUUAGUUAGGCAUUAUCCUGUAUUCCUUUCCCCAUCAACUUUUAGAGUCUACUAGCAAGUCCUAUUUAUUAUCUUUCACCUCAAAUAUCCCCAGUUUCUUUUUUUUUAAAGAUUUAUUUAUUAUUAUAUUUAACUACACUGUAGCUGUCUUCAGAUGCACCAGAAGAGGGUGUCAGAUCUCAUUACGGAUGGUUGUGAGCCACGGGAUUUGAACUCAGGACCUUCAGAAGAGCAGUCGGUGCUCUUAAUCACUGAGCCAUCUCUCCAGCCCCUCCACCCCCAGUUUCUUUCAAGUCCAUUAGUCCUUGUCAUUAUCAUCCAAGAUACACCAUGACAAAGUUUUUCUUUUUUCUUUUUUUUAAAGAUUUAUUUAUUUUUAUAUAUACGAGUAUACUGUGGCUGUCUUCCGAUACACCAGAGGAAGGCAUCCGAUCCAAUUACAGAUAGUUGUGAGCCACCUUGUGGUUGCCUGGAAUUGAACUCAGAGUGUCUGGAAGAGCAGUCAGUUUUCUUAACCUUGGAGACAUCUCUGCAGCCUGACAAAGUCUUCUUUACUCUUUCUUUUUCAUUUCAAAAUCUACUGUAUAUAAAUAACAUCAGCCUGAAGUUUUAAAAUGUAAAUUAGAGCAGUGGCUCUUUUUUAUAACACACUUCCCAUUUCUCCAUUUUCUAUUUGUCUUUGAGAUUUGAUAUCCAUUUACUUUGAUUUCAUUUUGUACCUCUCCUCUUUCUCACUAGACUGUACAAAUUGACCUUUCAGCUCAGAAUUAUGUAGUGUCUUUUCUGUUCCUGUUUGUUAUUUCCUCAGGACCUUAUGCUCUUACUUUCUUUUUUUAUUCAUCUUGCUCUACAUAGAUGACUUUGCUUUGAGGUCUACAUUACGUUCAAAUGCUGCCUUCUACAUUAUUUCCUACUUAGACAGUUUGACACAUUUAUUUUUUUAAGUACUUUAUUUUCAUCUGAAAUUAAUUUAGCAUCAUCUCACUAAAAACUAUGUAAGCUCUGUGGGAGCAGGGAUUUUUGUCUGCUAAAUACUGUAAUCUCAGAAUUUAGAUUAGGUCCUAAUAGAUACCUGUCAAUAUUUAUUGCCUGAAUGAACAAAUAAAUCUUUCAAUCUUUGUAGUAUCUUCCUAAUUUUUCUUAUAACAACUGUUCACAUUUUAUCUAUGUGCUUAGCAUAUCAUUCAAAUCCAUGUACACAUUAUACAUAUUAUGUGUAAUUAUGGUUGUUAUUUUUAUGGGACAGUCUCAAAUGUUAGUGAGUUUUUGGUUUUAUUUUAGUUUUAAAAACUGUGUGUGUGUGUGUGUGUGUGUGUGUGUGUGAGAGAGAGAGAGAGAGAGAGAGAGAGAGAGAGAGAGAGAGAGAGAGUGCAAAUGUGGGCCAUGACAUACAUGUGGAGGUCAGAGGACAGCCUUGAGUGUCUAUUCAUGCCAUGUACUUUAACACAGGGUCUCUUGUCAUUCACCACUGUGUAAGCCAAGUUAGCUGUUUUUAACCAUGGGUUCUUCUUUUGAAGAAUGUUUUUUUUUAAGGAACUAUUUUACAUUAAAUACUCUUUGAAGCAUUUAAAAAACAUGGACAUAAGUCCAUGGUUUUGCUUUAAAAUCAGUAUUAGCUUCUAUUGCAUUCUCCUUCUCUCUCCUGAGCCCUCCUUUUGUCUCCAGAGUUCUUGGGUUUUUUUUUCUUUCUUUCUA
rnacentral:lncRNA from 1 species